AGAGUGAACGCUGGCGGUAGGCCUAACACAUGCAAGUCGAACGGCAGCACAGUAAGAGCUUGCUCUUAUUGGUGGCGAGUGGCGGACGGGUGAGGAAUACAUCGGAAUCUACCUUUUCGUGGGGGAUAACGUAGGGAAACUUACGCUAAUACCGCAUAAGACCUUCGGGUGAAAGCCGGGGACCUUCGGGCCUGGCGCGGAUAGAUGAGCCGAUGUCGGAUUAGCUUGUUGGCGGGGUAAAAGCCCACCAAGGCGACGAUCCGUAGCUGGUCUGAGAGGAUGAUCAGCCACACUGGAACUGAGACACGGUCCAGACUCCUACGGGAGGCAGCAGUGGGGAAUAUUGGACAAUGGGCGCAAGCCUGAUCCAGCCAUACCGCGUGGGUGAAGGAAGGCCGUUCGGGUUGUAAAGGCCCUUUUGUUAGGGAAAGAAAGUCCUGCCGAUUAAUACUCAGUAGGAUGACGUACCAAAGAAUAAGCACCGCUAACUCGCGCCAGCCGAGCCGCGGUAACUC
rnacentral:rRNA from 1 species